GCUGUAGGCGAAGCGGCAGGUCAGGAACUGGUAAACGCGACGGAAUCGCAAUUCGUUGGGCGUAAGCCCCUGUGGGUUCGACUCCCACCGCCAGCA
rnacentral:tRNA from 1 species